rnacentral:rRNA from 1 species
UGUUUCGGCUAGGGGGCCAUCCCGGCUUACCAACCCGAUGCAAACUGCGAAUACCGGAGAAUGUUAUCACGGGAGACACACGGCGGGUGCUAACGUCCGUCGUGAAGAGGGAAACAACCCAGACCGCCAGCUAAGGUCCCAAAGUCAUGGUUAAGUGGGAAACGAUGUGGGAAGGCCCAGACAGCCAGGAUGUUGGCUUAGAAGCAGCCAUCAUUUAAAGAAAGCGUAAUAGCUCACUGGUCGAGUCGGCCUGCGCGGAAGAUGUAACGGGGCUAAACCAUGCACCGAAGCUGCGGCAGCGACACUGUGUGUUGUUGGGUAGGGGAGCGUUCUGUAAGCCUGUGAAGGUGGCCUGUGAGGGUUGCUGGAGGU